rnacentral:lncRNA from 1 species
CUAUUAAAAUAUUCAUGCAUUCGAUUAAAUUUUAAUCAUUUCGAUUAAAUUUUCAGCACCUCGAGCCAUGGAGAAACGCAAAAACAGAACCUGAAAGUCUACGACAAGCAAGCUGUACAGUCGCACAGAUUGAUCAACUCAGGCAGCAGGUUGUCACAUUAUAGAUAUAUAUUUCUAUGGUUUGUUAUAGUUGUAAUUAGUGUGAGAUUUGGACAAACAAAUAAAUCUUGGAUUCAAGUUUGUUUUGUUUAGUUGAUAAUUAUAAAUCAAAGGUUUGCUUAAAUAAUAAGAACUUUAAGUUUAUAUCAUUUGCUUGUAUUAUUUAAAUUUUGUUGGAAAUUUGUUUAAAUAUAUAUCUCCCUGUAUUUUAAUAAAAUGUCAACUUUAAAGGGGGACAAGAACAUGUGCAACUAAGUAGAUAUACACAUUACAUAAAUCUUCAUAUAGAUCCAUGGUUUCAUAAGAUAAAAGAGUGGAAGAAAUAAUGGGAAAACAUGGUCGGGUUACUAGGCUCCAUUUGCAUAACAUUAAUGGCGAAAUUGAAAGAGGUUUGUGUGUGUAUUGCUUGCAAUGUUGGCCAUGUUAAUAGCUGCCAUGAAUAUGAUAUGCAAGUUGCAACUCUAUCUACCAACUGCUCUGCCACCAAAUAAUGUAGGAUUCGUGUCUGUUAAUCAUUGCUCUGUUGUUUCAAAUAAUGUUUGGUGAUUAAUUCCGGCAACAAAAUAAACUUGAUUGUAUAGAAAUCUCUCUUUACUUUUUAAUGGAUAUUUCAGUAAUGUGUAUAUGCGAAAUUGAUAAAAAAAAAUUAUCUUGGCAAUUCCGAUAACAUAUUUAAUUAAUUAUACGAGAUUGAUAGAUUUUUGACAAUAUAACUUAUACGUAAACUUACGUGAUUGGUAGAUAUUUGUCUUGUAAGUUGUACAUAGACUAGUUCAGUUUAUCGACAAUUUGAAAAUUUUAGUUUGUUAACAAUUUCUAAACAUAUUUAUUAUUUUAGUUUCUUAACAACUACACACCAUAUCAUUACACUAUAUCGGUUUGUGUUUCCAUUCCAGACACAUAAUCAUCACUGCAAUACAAUACAAUACAAUACAAUACAUCAUUCUGUGUUUUCAUUUCAAACACAGUGUUUGAUCCUCUCAAAUUUUAAGUUUAUAAUGACCAGUAUUUGAUAUUCUUAGGAUUUCAAACGAAAUCCUUAAAAUCCAAAUCUAAAUUCUUUUAUGCACUUACCAAAUCACAAUUUCUGAUAAAAAGUUUUCAAAAAUUCAGAAUUUCUGAUUAAAUCCAAGUUUUCAAAGCAAAUUGCACUGUCCAAUGAAAUGCGGACAGUUCUCGGAAAGUUUGGGCUAAACAGUACAUGCGCAUAAUGAAAGGAGUUGAAGCAAUGGACCUCGGUAAAUACUAGAAAAUUUAGAGAACUAUUAAAAUAUUCAUGCAUUCGAUUAAAUUUUAAUCAUUUCGAUUAAAUUUUCAGCACCUCGAGCCAUGGAGAAACGCAAAAACAGAACCUGAAAGUCUACGACAAGCAAGCUGUACAGUCGCACAGAUUGAUCAACUCAGGCAGCAGGUUGUCACAUUAUAGAUAUAUAUUUCUAUGGUUUGUUAUAGUUGUAAUUAGUGUGAGAUUUGGAC